rnacentral:tRNA from 1 species
UCCCUGGAGGACUAGUGGUUAGGCCACAGCGCUGUCACCGCUGUUGCCUGGGUUUGAUUCCCGGCCAGGGAA